AUAUAUAUAACCUCAACUCUCUCACACUCUCAGAGAGUACAGCAACGGCAUGUCUUCCACACUCUCUCUCUCUCUCUCUUUAUUUAACUUCAACUCUCUCACACUCUAAGAGAGUACUGCAAUGGAUGAAGAGUUUGUUGCUUACUAUCUAGAUCGAAAAAUCAAUGGUCGCACCAUUGAGCUAGAAAUUAUCCCAGAGGUCGACCUCUACAAAUGUGAGCCGCGGGAUUUUCCUAAGAAAGCAACACGAAGAUGGACUUAGAAGAUUACAUUUUCAUCGAAGAGAUAAAAGAUGAUGUUUCUAUUAAAAUGGUAGACGAUGUCGUUUCCAUUGGAGGCAGAAGAUGAUGUUUUCAUUAAAGAGGUAGAAGAUAAUGUUUUAUUAAAUUUUGUAUCUUUCUUUGAUAUAUAAGGGAAAGUUUGUCAACGAAAAUGGAAGUUAAAAACUCAGAGAAUUUCUCAGAGGAUCAGUAAGAGCUUAUCUCCAAUGAAGCUAGCAUACAAAUAGCUCAUCAACUCAAUUGUACAGACUCGAUCCUGGCCUUUCAUUGAGGCUACCUAAACUACCCGUUGCAAUUAAAACAAAAACUAGCCGUUGGCUUCCUUGGUUGAUGAUGCUGUUGAUUCCGCUUCUUCCCGAGUCCAGAAACCAUUUAGGUCUCAACACUCUCCUUUAAAUUGUUUCUAGGUUUGACUUCAAGAAUACCGCUGAGGUAGAUGAACCUUUCCUUUGGCAGUCAGCCUCUUGAUCUUCAAUUCUGCGAUACAACUCAAU
rnacentral:sRNA from 1 species